GAUGAACGCUGGCGGCGUGCCUAAUACAUGCAAGUCGAGCGAACAGACGAGGAGCUUGCUCCUCUGACGUUAGCGGCGGACGGGUGAGUAACACGUGGAUAACCUACCUAUAAGACUGGGAUAACUUCGGGAAACCGGAGCUAAUGCCGGAUAACAUGUUGAACCGCAUGGUUCAACAGUGAAAGACGGUCUUGCUGUCACUUAUAGAUGGAUCCGCGCCGCAUUAGCUAGUUGGUAAGGUAACGGCUUACCAAGGCAACGAUGCGUAGCCGACCUGAGAGGGUGAUCGGCCACACUGGAACUGAGACACGGUCCAGACUCCUACGGGAGGCAGCAGUAGGGAAUCUUCCGCAAUGGGCGAAAGCCUGACGGAGCAACGCCGCGUGAGUGAAGAAGGUCUUCGGAUCGUAAAACUCUGUUAUUAGGGAAGAACAAAUGUGUAAGUAACUAUGCACGUCUUGACGGUACCUAAUCAGAAAGCCACGGCUAACUACGUG
rnacentral:rRNA from 1 species